GCUGGGCAUGGUGGUGGGUGCCUGUGAUCCCAACUACUCAGGAGGCUGAAGCAGGAGAAUCGCUUGAACCCAGGAGGUGGAGGUUGCAGUGAGC
ensembl:miRNA